rnacentral:rRNA from 1 species
UACAGGGGGUGCAAGCGUUGCUCGGAAUUAUUGGGCGUAAAGCGCGCGUAGGCGGCUACUUAAGUCGGAUGUGAAAGCCCUUGGCUCAACUGAGGAAGUGCACCCGAAACUGAGUGGCUUGAGUACUAAAGAGGGUCGCGGAAUUCCCGGUGUAGAGGUGAAAUUCGUAGAUAUCGGGAGGAACACCGGUGGCGAAGGCGGCGACCUGGGUAGAUACUGACGCUGAGGCGCGAAAGCGUGGGGAGCAAACAGG